AGAGAGAUCUUGCCUCAAAAAAAAAAUUCCAAUGAAAAGUCAUAAAAACAUUACCUUCAUUAGUUUAUCCAGUCCCAUGUAAUUAAUUCUUAUUCUGCUUGAUCUUGGGACAGCAGUUUCGUGAAUCUUUCAGUUUUUUCACUAGAGUUCUGAAAAUUCUUACCCAAUCCGAUGGUAUGAUCUUAAAUUUAUCACACACCUGUAGUCGUCAGAGUCUUUUCCAUAAAUCUCUUUGAAGACAAAGCACUUAAGGGUCAUGGUUUCUUGGAAAUGCUUUCAGGAAAGUAUUAAAAAUAACAAUUAAUUGUCUGGAGAUGACAAGUCUUAAAUGGGGGCAUGUGUGUAAGUCUUUAUUGGAUCUCUAAGGACCACUUCAAUGUAGCCUUGAAAUUAUGCUUGGUAAUGUCAGGUAGGGCUAAGGGCAUUUAGGUAGCAGCACAGGUAAUAGGAGGAUGUGGUCAAGGCCAGAAGGUCAGGACCAAUAACAACGGAGGAAAGAAACCACAACAGCAGGAACUUGAGGUUAGGAACUUUUCCCAACCUGGAGCAUGCACAGAAGCUAAAAGCUUGUGAUCAAAAGGGAACUUUGCCUCAUUAACACAGUAAAAUGCACACCCACCCAAGCCACGACAGUUUACAAAUGCCAUGGCAACCCUGGGAACUUACCCUAUAAGGUCAGAAAAGAGGAGGAACCCCAAUUUGGAGAACUCACCACCCCUUUCUUCAGAAAAAUCACAAAUAUUUCACCCCCAGCUUAGCAUAAAAUUAGGGAACCAACAUAAGAAGGUGAACUUCAUUAUGUUCAGGGUCUUCUCCACUGGCAGAGGCAGACACGUUCCUUUCUCCAGAAUGUACUUUUGCUUUGUAUCCUAUGCUUUUUAAUAAAGGCUGCUUGUGUGGAAUUGCUUUGUGUCUGUCAUUGCGCUGUGGCCCUGGCCCUGUUUGCGAUUCUUCCAAGCAAGGAGCCAAAGGAUCAGGACAUCUCUCCGAAAAACACACACAACCUAACAGAAGCAGCCUAUGAAAUUAAAGAAUUUGCCACACUCACAGGUCCUAAAGAGGUAGGCAUGGCACUUCACAGAGGAGGCUCAACUGGGCCAGUGGAGAGCUGAAAGACAGUGUGGACCCGCGGGAAAGUACCUUUAUCUGGGGCCAGGGUGGAGUAUGGAAGUAAAAAGGCGGCAAGGAGAUUUUACUGGUGUGUUUGAAUGUCACUAGGUCACAGUCAAGGGAUGGCAAGAAGGGGAACUUGUGGCUGAUGCCAGCCUUAUCGCACUGGUGCACCUGGUGGCCUGGUGGGGGUGCUCACAGCCAGUUUGUGGGGAUGUUGAGGCACCAGAGUAAUAUGAAGUUUUAAACAUUUACAACAGUGUGUCCACUAGCUCCCUUAAGAGCACCUGAAAUAAAUUGCAGAAAACACGACCAUGAAAAGGGGACGCACGCUUGAAAGGGUGCGUCCCCUUUAAGUAUACCCAAGGCCCCGUCCUUCACGGGAGACUCGGGAUGCAGUUUCCCAGACCGCUCCGCACUUGAGGUUGAACGAGGUGCAUCUCUGCCCUGGCCGGAUGCAGGCGAAAACUACAGUACCCAGAAGGCAGCGGGGCGGCGGGGCGCACUGCACCAAUGACGGCACGAGAGGCGUUGCCGGGGGCGGGGCUUCCGCGAUCCUGGGUGGUCGUUUGUUUGUGGCGUGGAGUGUGCGUCCGCGCCGGCUGCGAGCGCGCGGCCGGCGAGUGGGGGUGACGGGGUCCGCCUGCUGAAGAGGAUGGGUGCCCCGUGCGCUCCUCUGUAGGACCCAGAAAGGCCUCUGAGCCCACGGAGAUCGCCUCAGGCGGCCCGGUUCCCCUCACGGCCGAGGGCGGCGGCGAUGGACGCGGCGCGGGUGUUGGUGACUUUGAAAGAUGUGGCUGUGACCUUCACCCGAGAGGAGUGGAGACAGCUGGACCUGGCCCAAAGGACCCUGUACCAAGAGGUGAUGCUGGAGACCUGUGGGCUCCUGGUUUCUUUAGGGCAUUGCGUUCCCAAACCAGAGCUGAUCCACCUGCUGGAGCAUGGACAGGAGCUGUGGACAGUGAAAAGAGGCCUCUCCCACAGCACCUGUGCAGGUGACAGACCACAACUUCAGACCAGAGAGCCAACCACUUGUCUGCCGGUCUUAUUUCAGGGAGCCUUUCUCCAGGGAAGCCUGAGUUUGGGAUCUUCAAGGGACUUCAGACUGGGGAGAUCCAGGGAUCAGGAAGGGCUUUUGGAAAUGCAGAAAGGUCAGGUGAAGCCAGGGGCAGACCUCCACAAGGAGACCCAUCGAGAGGAAAUGAGCCUUGAAAGUGAAGGUUUGGGGAUGGAAGGCAGUCUACACUCCGGGGUGUUACUGGAGCAGGUAUCUCCAGGAGAUGUUCUCCUUCAAUGUGACUCACAGCAAACAGGGAAAGACACCUCAAUUCAUGGAGGGACAAACUCCUACAAAUGCAAACAGUGUGGGAAAGGUUUUAGCCGGAAGUGGUAUCUUGUACGACAUCAGCGGGUUCACACUGGAAUGAGGCCCUAUGUAUGCAAUGCGUGUGGGAAAGCUUUUAGCCAGAGCUCAACCCUCAUUCGACACUACCUCAUACACACCGGGGAGAAACCAUACAAGUGCCUUGAUUGUGGGAAGGCCUUCAAACGCAGGUCGUAUCUCAUGCAGCACCAUCCAAUCCACACUGGAGAGAAGCCCUAUGAGUGCAGUCAGUGUCGAAAGGCCUUCACCCAUCGCUCUACUUUUAUUCGCCAUAAUAGGAUCCACACGGGAGAAAAACCCUUUGAAUGCAAAGAAUGUGAUAAAGCCUUCAGCAGUAGGGCACACCUAAUUCAACACUACAUCAUCCACACUGGAGAGAAGCCCUAUGAUUGCGUGGAGUGUGGAAAGGCCUUCAGAUGCAGCUCAGAGCUCAUGCAGCACCAGCGGAUUCACACUGGGGAGAAGCCCUAUGAAUGCACUCAGUGCGGGAAAGCCUUUCAUCGGAGCACAUACCUCAUUCAACACUCUGUCAUCCACACUGGGGAGAUGCCCUACAAGUGCAUUGAGUGUGGCAAAGCCUUCAAACGCAGGUCACACCUCCUGCAGCACCAGCGGGUCCAUACUUGAGAGAAGCUCUAUUGGUGCAAUGAAUGUAGAAAUGCCUUUACUGCUGCUGCUCUUUCAUCCCUCAUGAUGGGACCCACACUGGAGGAAAUAACCUGAGUGCUAAGAAUGUUAGAAAGCUUUUUAUUUUUUGUCAGUUCUUUCUUAAUUAAAUGCACAAGUAGUCAACAUUGGGGGAGAAGCCUUGUAAGUGCAGUGAGUGUAAGAUGCCUUCAGCCACCACCCAGCCCUUACCCGUAGCAGAAGGAUUCACAGCAGAGAGAAAUGCAGAAGGCAUUGCACUUGCAUCAACACCAGAGAACUCAUGCUGGGGAAAGACAUUCCAAAUAUAACUACUGAGAACAGUCUGAAAAAAGAAAAAAAAUCUCAUGUGCCACCUGAUAAUGCAUAAUGAAGAGUUACUGCUUAAUUGUCAUCACUCUGAGAGAACUUUCUGUGUCCAGGUCAUUACUUGUCAUGUAAAGAGCCAUAUUGGAACUUGACCCACCUUGUGAUUUAUUCUAUGAAUGUAUAGAAACCUUCAGUGUCAGCGUGGUGAUCACCUUAUUUGGUCUUCUCAGUUCUUUCAGAACCACUCAGGUGAGCUUUGAUGCAGUGAGCCAUUAUAUGAUGAAACUGGACUUGAAGGCUCUGGACAAAGAGAGCAUCCCUCUGUCCUGGUCUCUGCAAGGACUUAAAUUUUGAUGUACUUAUUCCCAUUCAUCUCAUUCAUCACUCCACAUACAAUCCACAGUUGUAGCAGGUCUGCACCACCUGUACUAACUUGAUGUCUAUUUGCUCUUCUAUCAACAAAUGCAGCACUUGUACAACUGCAAGCUAGGGACAACCUAAAGGUCAAGACUAUAACAACGUUUUCUCACCAAUGCCACCAAGAGUUUUUACUCAUCUUUCUCCUCAAAAUCACUUUAGAGUUGACAGCUGCAUCAGUUACCCAUCCUCAUCACUAACUGCAAAGUUAUCACAAGUUCAGAAAAAACUCACAAGGCUUCACAGAAUAUAAUCAUGUGAGGCUUUUAUAGGCAAAGAUAAGGCACAGUGAGAUAAAGGGAGUUCUGGUCAGCAUGAGAUCUGAGGGCUGCAGGGACAACUCUACUGGCUCAUUAUCUGCACAUGGAUGUGUUCAUUGUCAGCUCCAAGAAAUCAAGACGUUUAAGGCAAAAACGUCAUGGCCUCCUGGUAUCACAAUUAAGCUAGGUUGCCUAACUAUGUAGGUAAUUUUGAAAUCACCAAUAAACAAACUGGCUCUGGAAAUUACCUUGAAAUUUUGUUACCUUGAAAUUUUUAAACUUUAAACAGCACAUAAAUUCUAGUGUCCAUAUAUCAAUCACCAAAAGUGUCAAAGCCAGACAUCCAGUUUUUACAAUAAAAAUGGAGCUUUUCCAGUGCAGUUGUAAAUUAGCUCUACCUUACAGAAAAUGAAUACAUGAUAUACCAAGAUUUGUGAGAUGCUGCUAAAAUAAUAGAGAAAAACUUAUAAAUACCUAUACUAGAAAAGAAUAGUCUAAAAUUAAUGUCAGAUUCUGCCUUAAGAAAUUAGAAAACUAAGGGAAAUUAAAGCCAAAAUUGAGUAAAACUUUUAUUCAAUAUUAGACUGAAUGUUUUGAAGAGAUGCUAGACUUCUAUUCAAUGUUGAACUGAAGGUUUUAGCCACUACAAUGAGGCAAUAAAAAGAAAGAAAACGGAGGGUGCCGCCUUGCGCGAUCUGGCGGCCGUGUCCGCCCCCGCGGCGGAACUCGCUGUCCGCGCAGUUCUUUCUCCUCAGUCCGGGAGGCGCGGUGACCGCCACGGCCUCUGUCACCCUGCGGGUGCUGGCAGGCCCGUAGGGAGGACGCUGCGACACUGCGGAAGCCGAGGAACAGGGUCGUGCGGGCCGGGCGUCCCAGCUGCCGGAGGUGCGUGCCGGGCAGCUCGGCCUCGCGUCGCCCGGCGGCGCGGGAGGCGGAGGACGCAGUGGCACUCCUUUCCCGGCCGCGUGGCGAAGCCCGCGCGCAGCCUCGUCCGGCAGCCACGUCGCCCCAGAUUGUGCGGGAGGACGAGAGCGUCCCCAGGGGAGAAUCCCCACUAGGUGUGCGGGGUUCCUGCGGGGAGGAGCUGUGAACUGUGGGGUUCUCUAUCCCUCCUUUCUCCUGUUAAAAAUGAAACCGAGGAAUGCUAAAACUCCUCACAGAAUCUCUCUCGUUGGUACCCAGAUGGGAGUUGUUCCAGUUUCCUGGUACUUGGGUGAAGAACAAGGAGGAGGUCUGAAGAAGCCAAUUAUGAACCACUUCCAAACCUACACAAUCACACUACACAGAGUGGGGUCCAGAAUCCCAAGUGAUUUACAUGCUCAUUAAAGACCGAGAGACAAUGUGCAGGUCUUGCUGUCGCUAACCCAGACCUGAUCAUCUGUGUGGAGUAGAAGAAAGAGCCCUGGAAUGUGAAGAGACACAUGAGAAAGUAGCCAAGCCCAGAGAUGGGGUCUUGCUCUUGCCGAAGCUGGUCUUGAACUCCUGACUUCAAGGCAUCCUCCCACCUCAGCCUC